rnacentral:rRNA from 1 species
UGAGGAAUAUUGGUCAAUGGCCGGGAGGCUGAACCAGCCAAGUCGCGUGAGGGAAGACGGCCCUACGGGUUGUAAACCUCUUUUGUCAGGGAGCAAGAGGCGGGUCGGGACCUGCUGUGAGAGUACCUGAAGAAAAAGCAUCGGCUAACUCCGUGCCAGCAGCCGCGGUAAUACGGAGGAUGCGAGCGUUCUCCGGAUUUAUUGGGUUUAAAGGGUGCGCAGGCGGAGGCACAAGUCAGCGGUAAAAUCGCGGGGCUCAACCCCGCUCCGCCGUUGAAACUGUGUCCCUUGAGUGCGCGAAGGGUAGGCGGAAUGCGUGGUGUAGCGGUGAAAUGCAUAGAUAUCACGCAGAACUCCGAUCGCGAAGGCAGCCUACCGGCGCGCGACUGACGCUCAUGCACGAAAGCGUGGGUAUCGAACAGG